UUCAUGGUCAAUGUGCCAUUAUAUUUUUGAUGGAACUUCAAGAUUGACAUACAAGAAUGUUCUCUCAUGGCAUCGUGAUCAUUGUCGUGUGUGUGGAAACAAGGUUGAUGUAAAGGACUGUUAAGUGAAGGCAAACAGGUUACUUUCCAUAAAAUAAUCUGCAGUAUUAUGAGAUCUCAGCCAAGAGCAAUUCAACUUUGAGAAGCCCUUUCUUUAUCUCGCCACGAAACUUGCUGGGGACCUCAACUUGCAUUUUGUGGAGUCUCAUAUGCUAGCUAGCUCUUCUAAUGGUGCGACUAGACAUGUUCGUUGAAUAAUAACGAAAGGCUUAAUGACAUCGUUGGAAGUGCAUACUAGGUGGCGCCAGAAGUUCUACGUAGAAUAUCUAUUCUUUUAUGUGGAAGUAGGCCCUUUUGCGCCUAAACUAAAUCCGGUUUUCCCGGUUGUUUUAAAACGUUUGAUGAAGUAUCUUGGCCUACAUUAUCCUCUGAGGCCAAAGAUUUCUUAAACGUUUAUUAUUAAACAAGAAUCCUAUAAAGAAUGACGGCUGCUGAAGCAUUGAGUCAUCCAUGGAUUAGAAAUGCAAAUGAUUUGAAAGUGCCACUCGAUGUCUCAGUAUUGAGACACAUGAACAAUUAUAUGCGUUCUUCUGCUCUUCAUAAAGCUACUAUACAGAUAAACAAAAACGAACGUUAGGAAUGAUAGGAAGGGGAAACACCGUUUGUGCAGUUGCCAGCUGGGAAAGAACCAUAACUGGAAGCCGUAGUCCAAUAAGCCACAUUGCAUAGGAAAAUGCCUUUUAUCAAGUUAUGUUAGCUAACAUGCUCCAUGUUAGGCACGUAACAUGUGAAUUAAACAUAGAUACUAACUUUUUUUUGCAUCUGCUUAUGUAACUAUAUCG
rnacentral:lncRNA from 1 species